CAAACAAACAACAUAACCUCUAAAGCGAGAACUUAUAAACUAAGUUAUUAAUUAAUUUAAGCAAAAUAAAACGGAAUUAUGAUGGAAAUUGAAGAAAAAUGGGUUGAUGAAUCAUUGUUGGAGUUGAUUAAAACGAAAUCGCAAGGUAAAAUGAAAUUGUUAUGGAAAAAAUUCUUGUUGAUGGUGUUAUUAAUGAUUUAAUGAUGGAAGAAUAGGAUACAUUUCCAAGGUUUAAUAAUGGAACAACAUCGGAACAGUUUCUUUGAAUCCGGUAGCAUAAAUUUUUGAUAAAUUUCAUUCUAAAAUAGAAAAGGAUAUAAAGCAAAAUAAAACGAAAUUAUGAUGGAAAUUGAAGAAAAAUGGGUUGAUGAAUUAUUCUUGGAGUUGAUUAAAACGAAAUCGCAAGGUAAAAUGAAAUUGUUGUGGAAAAAGCUUUAGUUCUUGUUGAAGAUGUAGUUAAUAAUUUAGUGGUGGAAAAAAAUAGGAUAUAUCAUUUCCAAUGUUUAAUAAUGGAAUAAUAUUGUAAGUGUUUCUCUGAAUCCUGAAUUUCAUUUUAAAAUAGAAAAGGAUAUAAAGAUGUGAUUAAUAAUUGAAUGAUGGAAAAAAGCAGGAUGUCUCAUUUCUGAGGUUGAGAUGAAAAUGAUGAAAUCUUUUUGAUAAUGCAAUUGAAGACUUUAUUAUUAAACUUUUGUUUAUAACUCAUUAAAUUCAUCCAUAAUGGUAACUAAAGAAUCCAUGGUUUCUUCACCACUUGGAAUGAUUUGAUCUGCAGGAAGGAGGAAACCAAAUCUCCCAGUGUCUCGUAAUUCAUAAGUAAUAAGGAGGAUGCUACUCUUUCUGAUGAUACCAUUGCUGUUUGGCUUGAUUUUAAGAUAAAUGGGUUGAUUUAAAAUUCAAAUAUGACUUAAUUGUAAAGAAUAAGGAUUAUGCUACUCUUUCUGAUGAUACCAUCGCUGUUUGGCUUGAUUUUGAGACAAAUGGGUUGAUUUAAAACUCAAAUAUCAGUUUAUUGUUAAGAAUAAGGAUUAUGCUACUCUUUCUGAUGAUACCAUCGCUGUUUGGCUUGAUUUUGAGACAAAUGGGUUGAUUUAAACUCAAAUGUGAGUUUAUUGUUAAGUGGCAUCAAGGGGCAAUUUUCACCGCUUAUAAGGAAUGAGAAGAUUCAAGACAACUCAAAAAUGGUGAUCAUAUCUCAAUUUAAAACAUUUAAAGGCAAUUAAAAAUAAAUAAUAGAAGAUAAUAAACAAUAUAAGCUGUCUUAAAUCCACUAAAAGUGAUUGAAUGUGAGAUUCUUAACCCUUCAUCAAUCAUAAAAUUUAUUUUUGCAUACAUAUUUCUUACAAGUUACUUUGUUAUAUUUUUAAAGAAUUGUUAUAAUUAAUAAAGAAACGCAAAAAUAUAAAUUUAAA